rnacentral:rRNA from 1 species
AUUGAACGCAGGCGGAAUGCUUUACACAUGCAAGUCGAACGGCAGCACGGACUUCGGUCUGGCGGCGAGUGGCGAACGGGUGAGUAAUGUAUCGGAACGUGCCCAGUCGUGGGGGAUAACGUAGUGAAAAUUACGCUAAUACCGCAUACGAUCUAUGGAUGAAAGCGGGGGAUCGCAAGACCUCGCGCGAUUGGAGCGGCCGAUAUCAGAUUAGGUAGUUGGUGGGGUAAAGGCCCACCAAGCCAACGAUCUGUAGCUGGUCUGAGAGGACGACCAGCCACACUGGAACUGAGACCCGGUCCAGACUCCUACGGGAGGCAGCAGUGGGGAAUUUUGGACAAUGGGCGAAAGCCUGAUCCAGCCAUUCCGCGUGCAGGAUGAAGGCCCUCGGGUUGUAAACUGCUUUUGUACAGAACGAAAAGGUUUCUACUAAUACUAGGAGCUCAUGACGGUACUGUAAGAAUAAGCACCGGCUAACUACGUGCCAGCCGCCGCGGUAA